UAAUCACUUGUCUAUUAAUUGUAGACCUGUAUGAAAGGCAAAAUGAGGGCCUAACUGUCUCUUAUAAUCAAUCAAUUAAACUGAUCUCCUAGUACAAAAGCUGGGAUACACACAUAAGACCAGAAGACCCUGUGAAGCUUAAACUAAACCAUCAAACCACAUGAUGAUUAAUUUCGGUUGGGGCGACCUUGGAAAAAAAAAGAACUUCCAAACAAAACACUAAAUAUAAAAUCAGGCCUACCAGCCAAAAACGACCCAGCAUUGCUGAUUAAUGAAACAAGUUACUCCAGGGAUAACAGCGCUAUCUUCUUCAAGAGCCCAUAUCAAAAAGAAGGUUUACGACCUCGAUGUUGGAUCAGGACAUCCUAAUGGUGCAGCAGCUAUUAAGGGUU
rnacentral:rRNA from 1 species